AAUAGAGGAACGAAGGCUUAAAAAAAUCACGUCCUGUGAUCCGCCUUCGUGACCAACAUCGUGUCGC
rnacentral:sRNA from 1 species